CCUACGGGAGGCAUCAGUGGGGGAUAUUGCACAAUGGGGGGAACCCUGAUGCAGCGACGCCGCGUGGGUGAAGAAGUGCCUCGGCGCGUAAAGCCCUGUCAGCAGGGAAGAAAAUGACGGUACCUGAAGAAGAAGCCCCGGCUAACUACGUGCCAGCAGCCGCGGUAAUACGUAGGGGGCAAGCGUUAUCCGGAUUUACUGGGUGUAAAGGGGGCGUAGACGGCGAUGCAAGUCAGGAGUGAAAUCCCGGGGCCUAAACCCGGGACUGCUCUUGAAACUGCGUGGCUGGAGUGCAGGAGGGGCAGGCGGAAUUCCUGGUGUAGCGGUGAAAUGCGUAGAUAUCAGGAGGAACACCGGUGGCGAAGGCGGCCUACUGGACUGCAACUGACGUUGAGGCCCGAAAGCGUGGGGAGCGAACAGGAUUAGAUACCCUGGUAGUC
rnacentral:rRNA from 1 species